CCUACGGGUGGCUGCAGUGGGGAAUAUUGGACAAUGGGCGAAAGCCUGAUCCAGCCAUGCCGCGUGUGUGAAGAAGGCCUUCGGGUUGUAAAGCACUUUCAGUGGGGAAGAAAGCCUUGGGGCUAAUACCCUCGAGGAAGGACAUCACCCACAGAAGAAGCACCGGCUAACUCCGUGCCAGCAGCCGCGGUAAUACGGAGGGUGCGAGCGUUAAUCGGAAUUACUGGGCGUAAAGCGCGCGUAGGCGGUCUGAUAAGCCGGUUGUGAAAGCCCCGGGCUCAACCUGGGAACGGCAUCCGGAACUGUGAGGCUAGAGUGCAGGAGAGGAAGGUAGAAUUCCCGGGGUAGCGGUGAAAUGCGUAGAGAUCGGGAGGAAUACCAGUGGCGAAGGCGGCCUUCUGGACUGACACUGACGCUGAGGUGCGAAAGCGUGGGUAGCAAACAGGAUUAGAUACCCCUGUAGUC
rnacentral:rRNA from 1 species